UUUCUGCACGUAAGAGAAUUAAUUUUUGGUGGUUACUUAUCCAUAAGGUCGCAGUUCACUAGCCUCCACUUAUCAUUCACUGCCUUCGCCUUCAUGGUGCUCUCUUUUCUGUAUUGGCUGUUUGAGGUUUGUUGCUUCAAUCCAACCAAGGCAGUCAUCCUUUCCCAAAUAGGAUUGAAUAAGGGUCUCUCUCUUUGGAUUAUAGGAUCAAAUAAUAAGAUUGUAAGAAUUUCCAAUUAAAUAAAAUCCUACCAUACAAUUCUUAGAAUAACAUCACCGUGAUACACCUAAAAGUUCAAAUAUGAGUUCAAACACUGUUAAUUUCUGAAAAAAAAAUAAACAUAAAUAGAGUCCAGACUUCAAAGUUGCUAACAAGCAACUACAAGUUCAAUCAAAUUUGCAGUGUAGUGAAAUGAUAAAUAUAAUUAUCCCACUAAAAGUGCAAAACAAUGGUUCUAAUUUAUUUUGUUUAUAGCCAAGCAAGUGUUUUUUUUUGCUAAUGAUUAUUUCUAUCACUUUGUGAAAAAAUUGAAAUGUUGACUAAUUCGUUAGAGGUGGUUAUAAAGAACCGUUACAAAAAGUUACAAAAAGUGAACACAUAACACAAAUAGCUAUUUUACACAAGGGUAAUUGAUUUUUUGAUGUUGAAUUGUCAGGGUUCUUCCUUUAGGUAGUUUACUUUGUUGAUACAUAUUAUCUUACUAGCAUUUUAGAUUUACCACUAUGGUUCAUAUACUUACAAGUAGACCCCUACUUAUUUACAAUUGGGUCCAUAACUCUCUGUCUUGAGUUGAUUCAAAAAUAUUGAAAAUCCUAAUUUUUUGAAAAUCUAUUUGAUUUAGGAUCUUUUAUGCUUGGUUUGCUUUGAGGAAGGAGAAUUGAAGGGGAGGAGGGGAAGUAAAGUGUGUAAAGGAAGUGGAAGGGCAAGGAAAGAAAAAUAAGAGGUUCCUAUAAUCCAAUAACCCACAACAUUUCGCUACUAUCGCUGCAAGGAUCAUGUUGAUCUCGGCUAUCUUAUGGCUCCUAAAGAAGAUGACCAUGGAUCACAGCAAGCGGUAAUCAAACUACAUAAAAACCUCAAUUGCUCAUAUUGUUAUUGCCUAUGAGGUCAAUCUACUCAAUGAUAAAUAUCACUUAACCCUAUCUAGCACGAUACAAUGCCACAAGUGUUAGAGCAGUCUAUAUACUAGAAUAAAUCGAUACCUCAAGGGUGAUCCUUCUUGAAACUAGAGAAACAGUCUAAUACAUGCUCUAAGAUGCAUUGCUAAGAAGUGGCUCUCCUUCCAACACUCGAGUUGUAAGGAACCAACAGAGCUUGUGGAGGGCAGUUAAAAUUGUGCCACCACUCUUGAAGUUCAAGUGGCACAAGUUUAGCUGCCCUCCACAAACUUGGUAGGUUCCUUACAACUUGAGUGUCUAACUUCUUAGCAAUGCCAACGUGCUCUAAGAUGGGAUCCUGCUCCAUCUUAGAGCAUUUAUUAGAUUGUUUCUCUAGUUUCAAGAAGCAUUAUAAUUAUAUUGUAGCAGUCAUGGUGAUUACCAUUGAGGUGUCGAUUUAUUCUUGUAUAUAGACUUUGUGCUAGAUAGGGUUAAGUGAUAUCUAUCAUUGAGUAGAUUGACCCCAUAGGCAAUGACAAUAUGAGCAAUUGAGGUCAUUAUGUAGUUCGAUUACUACCUGCUCUGAUCCAUGGUCAUGGAGAGUACCAAAGCAUUAUCCUCCUUCAAUGAGGGCGUUGACAGUAAAAUCUCUUUCCUUAAUGAUUGGUUCUUUGGCUCUUGUCAUCGGGUGGAGCUUGAACCAUGUCAAGGUGGAGCUUACUGUCAUGGCUAAACUGGAAGGCUAGAAGAACAUGCUUGAGCUUGCCCUUAUGGCUCACAAGAAAAUCAUGUAUGCAAUUGAAGUUUGGGGGAAUGAGGACAUCAAACCAAGGGAGGAAAUAAGGAAUGAUGUUGCUGAAGGGAAUGGAAGUUGUCAGCACCUUAUCAUUCUGUGUGUCAAGGGCAUUAGUUCUUGCACUUGGGGCAAGGCUGCAACUGUCCUGGUUGUUCAAUCAA